UACCCUUCAAGAAUUUAUGACCAUUACACCUUUCACCUGUCCCUCCAAACACUGCCGCCAUCUUCAACAACAAACAGAUCUUCAUCAUCAAUGCAUGCCUCCUACCCCCUUUUCAACAUUAUUAACUUCAAUUCAUCUUCAGCAUAACUUCAAUUCAUCUUUUAACAUAUCAAAUCAAAUCCUUACUCCAUUUCUAUUAUCAUUAAUCUCCAUCUCUGUUCAUCAAUUAAGGUUACCAGUGACUACACCAUUAAUCCUCCCACUACCUCCUUCAAUUACCCCCAUCUACCAUGCCAGCUUCGUUUAUAUCCAACCCUUACAUCUGCCCCUAUAUAUCUACCAUCAAACCUUUACAUCUCAACGACAAAACAGAAUCACCCAUCUCUGCAGUUGCUCGUUGCUGCCAGAGCCAUACCGGAGAUAGAAUCAGCUAAUUUUGCAAAAGGUAAUAACCGUUGUUUUCUUUUUAAAGUGGUUAUCUGAAUUUGUGAAUGUAACAUAGGUACAUAUUAAUAUUGAUCCAUUCUGGAUUUGUAAAUUAAAAAAAAAAGCCAUUGUAAAUUACAGUAGUGUACGUCUUUCUUGGAUUAGAGACAGUGGCUUAUGAUAUUUUUUUUUUGUUUUUUUUGCUUUGUUUUAUAGUUUUUGGAGAUUUGACUACACUUAGCAUUGUCAUAUUUAUGAAACCUCUUUUAUGCUUUGUUUAUGAGUUGUGUUUGCCAUGUCUGCUACUUGUUAUUGAAAACAAGGUUGUUAAUUUUGCAAGACAGGUUUACUUUAUGCACUUGAACCAUGUGCACCUUACGCAAAUAACCAAUUUCUAGAUUCUGCAACUUAAAAGUUGAUAAAUAAUACAGUUUAUUAAAGUAAUAAAUAAAGAAAAGUAGAUCUCAUGGCUUCUGCACUAACUAAUGGUGUUAUGAAAUAUUUAGAUUGCACGUGCCAGUUUUUAGACAGUUAUGCAUAGAUCUUAUUACUAAUUACAGAUUGAAACAAAGUCGUAAUAUGUCUGUUGAGAAGUCGGGCAGAAUCUUCUUGAUGACUUUGGCUCACGGUUGUACGAAUAGGUUUGUCCAAAAAUCUUUUAAUCAUUCUGGGGAAACUAUUCAUAGACAUUUCUAUAAAGUUAUGGCAGCCGUGCUUAAGAUGAGUGCUAACAUCAUCAAGCCAUCCGCAAACUAUAAUGAUGAGGUACCUGCUCUAUAUUAAAUAAUCCUCGGUGUUAUCCAAUGUUCAAGGAUUGCAUUGGUGCUAUUGAUAGAACACACAUGAGGGCAUCGGUUCGAUUGAAGGACCAACCGAAGUACAUUGGUCGAAAGGGAUAUGCGACAAAAAAUAUAAUGGCCAUUUGUGAUUUUAACAUGUGCUUUACAUUCGUAUGGGCUGGAUGAGAGGGUAGUGCACAUGACACCAGAAUCUUCAGUGAAGCGUGAAGCCUUACAAAGGCCGGAGCUUCUAUUUCCACAUCUAACGGCUGACAAAUAUUACGUUGUUGAUGUCGGAUACCCAAAUACUAAAGGGUAUCUUACUCCAUACAAAGGACAAACCAUUCGUUAUCAUAUACCAGAAUUUCAACGUGGACAGAGUAGUGCUAUGCAUGCUCCUCGCGGACCAAAAGAGACAUUUAACUAUCACCACUCGUCAUUGCGAAAUAUCAUUGAACGAGCCUUUGGAGUAUUGAAAGCUAGGUGGGCAUUAUUGAGAGAUAUGCAUGUUAAUUACACAUACGAGCACUAAGUGAGUAUUGUGAUAGCAUGGAUGGCGAUCCAUAACUUUGUUAAAAAGUCUGGUAUGUUUGAUGAAGCAUUUAACAUAGCCCAACAAGAAUCUUACAAUCCCCGCGGUACUAGUGAUGAACUUCAUGAAGAAGUUCCGUCUACAAAUCGUACAGAUAAUGAUGGUAUGUAUAUGGAAGCGAUAAGAGAUAUGAUUGCACAAGAUAUAAUGGAAUCACGAAGAAGAGCAUAGUAUGACAUUAGUUUGUUAUUCUUGUGCAUUUUUUGUGUUUUUUUUAGCAAUCUGAAUGUAAUAUUAUUAUGUUCUAAUUAGGAAAUUAUAAAAUAUGUAAACAAAUGUUAUGUUAUAUGUUUCAUCAAGUUGUUUUUCAA